UGUUUCGGCUAGGGGGUCAUCCCGACUUACCAACCCGAUGCAAACUACGAAUACCGAAGAAUGUUAUCACGGGAGACACACGGCGGGUGCUAACGUCCGUCGUGAAGAGGGAAACAACCCAGACCGCCAGCUAAGGUCCCAAAGUCACAGUUAAGUGGGAAACGAUGUGGGAAGGCACAGACAGCCAGGAUGUUGGCUUAGAAGCAGCCAUCAUUUAAAGAAAGCGUAAUAGCUCACUGGUCGAGUCGGCCUGCGCGGAAGAUGUAACGGGGCUAAACUGUGCACCGAAGCUGCGGCAGCGACACUUAGGUGUUGUUGGGUAGGGGAGCGUUCUGUAAGCCUGCGAAGGUGGCCUGUGAGGGUUGCUGGAGGUAUCAGAAGUGCGAAUGCUGACAUAAGUAACGAUAAUGCGGGUGAAAAGCCCGCACGCCGGAAGACCAAGGGUUCCUGUCCAACGUUAAUCGGGGCAGGGUGAGUCGACCCCUAAGGCGAGGCCGAAAGGCGUAGUCGAUGGGAAACAGGUUAAUAUUCCUGUACUUGGUGUUACUGCGAAGGGGGGACGGAGAAGGCUAUGUUAGCCGGGCGACGGUUGUCCCGGUUUAAGCAUGUAGGCGGAGGU
rnacentral:rRNA from 1 species